rnacentral:rRNA from 1 species
GAUGAACGCUGGCGGCGUGCCUAAUACAUGCAAGUCGAGCGAACAGACGAGGAGCUUGCUCCUCUGACGUUAGCGGCGGACGGGUGAGUAACACGUGGAUAACCUACCUAUAAGACUGGGAUAACUUCGGGAAACCGGAGCUAAUACCGGAUAAUAUAUUGAACCGCAUGGUUCAAUAGUGAAAGACGGUUUUGCUGUCACUUAUAGAUGGAUCCGCGCCGCAUUAGCUAGUUGGUAAGGUAACGGCUUACCAAGGCAACGAUGCGUAGCCGACCUGAGAGGGUGAUUGGCCACACUGGAACUGAGACACGGUCCAGACUCCUACGGGAGGCAGCAGUAGGGAAUCUUCCGCAAUGGGCGAAAGCUUGACGGAGCAACGCCGCGUGAGUGAUGAAGGUCUUCGGAUCGUAAAACUCUGUUAUUAGGGAAGAACAAAUGUGUAAGUAACUAUGCACGUCUUGACGGUACCUAAUCAGAAAGCCACGGCUAACUACGUG